rnacentral:lncRNA from 1 species
ACCUCAUCGGGCGCAGGCGGUGGUGUUGGCCCUCUGGAUUGCUCGUCGGCGACAAGAGAUCCCGCGGGGGCACGUUUCUCCGCCUUGCGCCAUGAACCGCGCGUCCGUCACCAUAAUCCGAGGUAUGAUUGUCGCCUAUGCAUUCGCCUGGGUCGCCUCUAGGGGUAGGACCAUUUCGGGUCAAGUAAUUGUCAGGGGGAGUGCGGAUUAACUGGGCGCCGGUGAACGUCCGCCGUGGUGCGGGGCGGCGCCGCCGCGUGCGGCAGUGAGAUGGGAGAGAAAGCGGUGGGCUGUCGAUUUUCUGGUGGAUGGCUGCGAUUUGAAGCCGUGUGAGCCGUGGGAUGUGGGGUGUGCGACGGUGAUCAGAUCCCUGGCAUACCCGUUGGGAGGAUUGAUCUGAGCCAUUGACUGAGAUCAAACGGAUAUUAGAUCUGGAUCCAUUAAAAUCUGACAGUUGAGUUUUGAUCCGAUGGACAUUAGGUCGUAGCGGUUCGUUAUGAAGUGGAUCUAAUCUGGGCCGCAAUGUUAGAUCUGAUGGCUGUGACGCAACGAUACCCCUUCGGCUACGUAGUUUUACAUAAGAACUCCUGAUGAAUUACAGAAUAAACCCGCCGUCCAUCUCGGUGGUAGCCUGAGUCUGCUGAAGUUUUAUAGUAUAGCCCCUAUACUUCUCUGAUUUUGGUGCGCAGUCCAGAUAAAUUAUAAAACAGAGAAAUACAUCUAGAAAAAGAUUUAUAAUACAAAAUUAAUUCCAAUAACUUGUUUAAUCCCUAGAAAAUUCAUAUUAAGUUCAAAUUGACCCAUUUCAGUUUCUAUAAUUUUAUAAAAUUAUUGUUUAUCUAUUAGUGCCACUGUUUUGACAUGAAAGUUACAUUAAAAUUAAUAUCCUAUUUAAUCUUAUAUCAAACACAUAAAAUCCUUAGAAAUUCAUAACUCAUCCGUUUUAACUCCGAUUUGAUCCGUUCAAGUUGCGUUAGUCUCGUAUAAAUAUUUACUAUGCAAUAACAACACUUAUUAUACCAUGUCUCAUUCUUUUAUAAUUAGGUCUUUAUUUAACCUAUGUUGGUUAGUCUUGUUAAUCUACUUACCAUUGUAAUAUACUAAAAUAUGAUCUAAGAUCAAUUUAUAAUUUGGAUUAAAGUGUAGAUAGUUAUUUAGAGAAUAACCUCUCAUAUGAUUUAUAUUAACCAAUUUAUGAUAUAGUUUAAUAUUUUAAUCAUAUAAAUCUUUUAUAAAAUCAUAAAUCCUUAACCGUAACUCUGAUUUUAGUGGUUCUCGUUCCCACGAUCUCGUAGCAACGUGUAGAUCAUUAUUAUGUAGUAUGUUCUUAUGUUUGGUGUGAUGUUAAUUUUUUUCUAUACCAUGUCUGUUUGUAUUGCUACAACUAGCAGUGCGGUCACGAGGAUCUGAAGAAUCACCCUGGUAACUGGAAUCUCAAGUGCCAGGCAAGUUGUGUCCUUGAUCCACUUUUGUUACCCAAUAAUAUUCUUUAUUAUCAUUAUUCAAUGCAUAGGUUUAAUUUUGAUGGGACCCAAUAGGUCACCCUAGUCUGUUUAUCCUGUUUACCUUGUUUAUCCCUGAUUCACCUGGGUAGUUAUGCUAUUGCAUUAUAUGGUUUUGGGUUAAUAUUUCAUUAUAUCCAUGUUCUAAUUAUGUUGUUAUUUUUAUGUUCAUGUCAAUAUCAUUAUCUUUAAUUGGAACAUGGAGCUUAACUUGAGAAACACGUGCCACCACAAGGGUAGAAUGAGACGCCCUUGGCUGACUAAUUAGGAAAGCUAGUGGAAGACUACUGUCGGUACCCUAAAUCAGGGGUACCCUCUUCUACAGCAUGAAGACGCCGCACCCAUGCGAUGUUCCCUAGCCACGCAGGGAACGAUGCCUGACCUCACCGCAUGGGCAGACCAAAGGGCGCCACGUGGCAAAGAGAGACAACACAUCUCAGUAAGUCCGGGCUCCCACAGAGGGACACCGGACCCCUAUACAUAUAAGUCCGGAACCCCCGGGAGGUCCGAAACCUAGCAGGGUCCCAGAACGAGGAGAACCCUGGUAUGAGCAAGGGUCCGAUGCUGACACAUGUCUGGGCCUUGCCCUUCACGUCCUGCUCAGGCGGAGACCCGCUACUUGUGGCCCAUGACAUAAGUUAUCGGGCCGAACCUGACGUGAGGUCGUGCAGCCCCUGCAUUUAUUGAAGAAAGGACGUGCCGCCUGCCACCGCACUGAGGGGCGACGUGCCCUCUCAGCAUUUAAUGUGUCCCAUCCCAUCCGCUGGCAGGCGGUGUCAAGGUCAUCCAGCAGGCGGCGCGCCUGCUAGGUUUGCUGGUGAACAGUACGACCAUGCCAGGCAGCACACUGUACUCAACAUCCCUCCUACAAGAAACUUCCUCUGUACGCCAAGGAUACGCAGAUCUCGGGCGUCAGGGACGAGAAGAUUGUCUCGACAACAGGCAUUAGUAGCUCCAAGUGCUAUAUUCUUUAUGUUUGUGGGCCCACAUGUCGGGGCCCAGUCCCUUUGUGCAUGCCCCCUUCAGCUAUAAAGGGGGAGGCAUGCGACGUUACACACACACACAAUCUUAGACUUGCUUGCUCAUACAAGCUCUCAAGCAAUACAACUCAUAGCGGAGUAGGGUAUUACGCUCCGGCGGCCCGAACCACUCUAAACCCUUGUGUGUUCUUGAGUUCUUCCCCUUCACUCCAAUGAUCAAGCAAAAUGCCUAAGCCCCUCCUAAUCUUAGGAUUUAGGGCGGGUGCACUCCGCCACCCAGCCGGAGAUCUACUCUCCGACAUUUGGCGCGCCAGGUAGGUGCCAGGCAUUAGGUUUUUGCUUGAUCCCUUGCCCAAGCAUGAUGGUGCAGAUCAUAGAGCACCACGCCGAGACUUCGGUAGACUUUGCGGUGGAGGGAGAAGAUGCUUCCUCCACACCACAGGCUCCCAGUCGCCCGACACCAGUCACUCCUGCUGUGCACGCCGCACGGCAGCACACAGUAGCGCAAACAUCCCGGACUCUAUCAAGGGCGUCUCCGGGGGCGUUGUCAACAGCCAGGGAGUUGUUGUGACACCCUCCAAGCUCCACGGCUUCACAAGGAGCCAUGAAGCAAUGGCGGGACGACGUCGACCGGCUGCUCAGUAUGGCGCAUUCUACCUCGACCGGGUCGAAGACGCGGUCAUCUCGGCGCCAACACGAGGCAUCAGCAUCGGUGCGCUCGCCCUCAGUAAGGGCGCGCAGACCAACGACCUCCGGGCAGAACUCAACCGCAGGCGUGCGGGAGAGGACGCCCGGGUAUCCUUAGAAAGGGCACGCGAGCGCCGCCAAAACAUCGAUGGACGCGACCUCGAUCAAGACUUCGCGGCGGUUGCGCCGCAGACACCAAUGGGCACCCGGUCCCAAACGGGUGUCCCCUUGGCCGGAGUGGGCUGCGCCGCACUGGCGGAUCAUCUCCGCGUGGCGUCCUGGCCACCCAAGUUCCAGCCACACAUGCCGAAAAAAUACGACAGAACAUCAAACCCGUCGGAGUUCCUGCAGGUGUACGUUACCGCCAUCACGGCAGCAGGUGGAAACACCACUGUGAUGGCAACAUACUUUCAUGUGGCCUUGUCUGGACCUGCCCGGACCUGGCUCAUGAACCUCACCCCGGGAUCAGUCUACUCCUGGGAAGAACUCUGUGCGCGGUUCGUGGCGAACUUCGCCAGUGCUUACCAGCAGCACGGUACGGAGGCCCACCUCCACGCAGUGAGGCAGGAGCCCGGGGAAACCCUCCAGAAGUUCAUCUCCCACUUCACCAAGGUACGAGGUACGAUACCUCGUAUUUCUGAUGCUUCUAUCAUCACGACCUUUCGACAGGGAGUAUGUGAUGAAAAAAUGUUGGAGAAGUUGGCCACACAUGACGUGGAAACUGUCCCCACGCUCUUCGCUCCGGCCGACAAGUGUGAUAGAGUCGCCGAGGGCCGUGCAUGGCACUCGACCCCACAAACUGGAGCUGCCUAGUCGGGUGGCUCGGGGGCCGUCCUCUGGGACAGAAAGAAGAAAAAGAAGAAGGACCGUGACUACCAGAAGUCGCGGUCCACCGCUCUGGUGGUCGUAGCAGCAACCGGAGGCCAGGGCGACCGCAACAAACGCCCGCGACCGCAGAAGGAUAGCAGCGGUUCAUGCCCUGUGCACCCGCAUGGUCACCACAGCGCCGCGGAAUGUCGCGAGAUCAUUGACCUCGCAAAACGCGUCAGCAAGCGACGCGAGCAGUCCUCCAAAGACGGCUCCCCGCCUCGCCACCGGCCCGACAAGGAAAAGGUGGACGACGGCGAGGUGGCCGCAACUGAACGGGACGUCGGGUAUCAGUCGCCUGAGGGGGACCUGAAGGAUAUGUUCGCCGGAGGCUCCUACUCCGGUGAAGACAACUAGACGGACCUCGGAGGGACCCCAUGUUCCCUGGCCUACAGAGCUGAAGCACGCCUUCCUUCGGAGGCCCUUCCAGACCCCCCAUGGGUCCGAACUGCAGACAGGUAUAUGCAGAAGUGAUCACAGCCAGAGACGAGGGCUCCCGUGUCAAAUGCAGACGGGAACCCCGGGUCGGGGCUUAGCCCCACGGCAGGUGCCAUACCAAGAGGGGCUCCACAACUCUCCUCCAGCUGGGAAGGACCCUUCAAGGUAACAAGAGUGCACCGACUCAGGGGCAACCAUCUAGCUACGACUGGAGGAGUACCUUACCCUGAUGUCGAAUAUCUCUGUAAGUUCUAUCCAUAAGAGCGAGGCUAAGGGGUCGAGUCUGUUUCCCUUUUUUGUAACUAGAUAACGCAUACAUGCACGACAACCCGGUGGGGUCUGCCCCCAUGAACCCGGCCUAUUGGUCUGCACACAUGCACGACAAGUUAUGAAGAAGAAACUACCCCCCUCAGCCAUGCUCUUGUGAUAGUUCCAUCUUGCUGCUCCAUGGUCCUACCUUGCAGUCUUCCAGAUAAUACCUUUCAGCUAACCCACCCGUACGGUUUCCAUCUGUCUGACAUGGCGACAUCCGAAUUGAACAGCCAGGCUUGCAGCUUAGGGCCCCUGACACGAAAGUAGGGAGGUCCGACAGCCUGGGGGUCGGCUCUAGAAAACAGGACCCCGUUCCAUAGGGUAGUCUGGAGCCCGUGUAGCCGCUCAGCCAAGUCCUGUACCGUGGGCCUACAUGCUCCACCACCCCAUGACGGGAACUUAGUAUCUAGAGUUAUAAGUCCUGCGGGUCCGAUAACCUCAGGACCGGAGCUAGAGAACGGACAUUAGUCUCCUAGGGUGGUCUGGAGCCCGUGCAGCCGCUCAGCCUGGUCCCGUACCGUGAGCCUGCAUGCUCCACCACCCUGCGACAAGUGUCCUAGUAUAUAGAACCGUGACCCAAGGGGGUCCGGACACGCAACUUGGCCACCCGGGCUAAAACCUGCAGGUCCUGAGCAUGUAUCAAAGGGCGACUAAUGUCAGACGGAGAACCCUACGAGGUGUACUACUAAUGCUUCCUAGCUAAAAGCUGUGUACAGAUCCAGAUCCCGACGAGUUGCCUCCCGAGAAUUGUUGACAACCUUUUCAGAAACGCUGGUAUCCAACCUCAACACAUUAAACCUACAUCCCAGGCGGGGGGCCAGGUACUAAGGAGGAGUCAACAACAUCGCACACAACAGGAACAUGCGUUACACAGAUAAGUGCUAAAUGCUGCUUAGAAGGCAUUUAUUUCUUUACAAAAACAGGGGAAGGCCUGGGGGCCGGUUCUAAAGAACGGAUGCCCGUUCCAUAGGGUGGUCCGGAGCCUGUGUGGCCGGUUAGCUUGGUUCCGUACCCAAAAUCCUGCACACUCCGCCACUUCGUGGCGGGUGUCCUAGUAUUUAAAACUAAAGUCCUAUGCAUCCAACAACCUGGAGGUCCGGCUCUGAAGAACGGGCACUUGUAUCCUGGGGGGGGGGGGGGGUCCGGAAACCAUGUAGCCGCUCAGCCUGGUCCCGAACCGUGAGCCUGCAUACUCCACCGCCCUGUGGCAGGUGUCUUAGUACUUAAAGCCACCAUCUAGGGGGUUCGGACACACAACUGGGCUUCCCAGGCUAAAAUCCUGCGUACAUAUGUUUUUACAUUUUGCUCUCAAGCAAAUGUCAUUACAUUUCCUUACAAGCGGGACCCCAGCUCCAUUUCUACAGGAAUGAACUACCUCCACACCAGUAAGGGACACGGGAUAGCAAGCCCCGAGCGGCUCACCAGCAGAGGCAACCGCAUCAGCACCGACGGCGACGGCCGCCUCUGCACCGACGACUCACCAGCAGCGGCAAUCAUCCCAGCAUGUGCGCCGCUGCGGGUAGGACCUCGCCCCCGUCUCCCUAUGGAGGGCGACAACAGGCCAUUAAAGCCAAAGAGUUGGAAGCCCGGCGACAGGCAGCACUGAUGGCCUCACCAGCGACGACAACCACCCCUGCACCGGUGGGUGACGGCUGCCUCAGCACGCUUAUAGGUCCUCACUCCCGUCUUUGCUAAGGGAGUGAGGACAUCUGAGAACACGGCCGCCACUCCCGCAACGUACGACGCCAUGUGCGACCCACCAGUACGACCGGUGACGCGAGAGAAGCCGUGGGUGUGGCGGACCUGCACACAGCGCGACCAUAGCCGGUGUGGUGAAUGGGCAGCCGCGCCUCGACCCAAGCAGCAGAAGGCAGCGUCGGAGGCAGCGCCGAAGCCAUCCAUACCAAGGCAUCAAACACGCGGUGGCUGGCGACACCCAUAAUCAGCCAGCCCCGCGUACCCGAAGUUCGCCUCCUCCGCAUGAAUAGCAAAUGCCCUUCUCCCCCGAACACUGAGGGAAGAAGCGGGCCGCUACCCACGCGGAGGUGGGGCCCCAACUCGGCACACCCUCCUCCCCAACACGGAUGAUGAACAUCCUUGAAGCUGAGGGUAGGAGGGAGGCUGCAGCCCGGCUUGCUUCUCCCCACCACAAGGCUGGUAGUCAUCCUUCUGGAUGACCACCGGCGGGGGACUAUAGCCGCGCUGCGUGAUAAAAAUCCUUGAAGCCGAAUGGUGCUGAAAGGAUGCCAACCCCCAUGGGGUUGCACCCCUCCAACAGCAGCAGGAAGAAGACAAGAUCGGCGACACCACCACGAGCGCACGCUCUCCGACGGUGAAGUCGCCGGAAGAGACGACCUUGACGCGGAUCCCUCCAGAGAACACCGGCGCACCCCAUCUGGAGGCCCGAAAGGCAAAAGGGCGCGGUGGUCACAAGAGGAGCGAGGCAUGUCUACUACCCAGGGGAUCAACCCCUUUUUAAAGGCAAAUCCCCCCUCGCACCCCUGAAGCGUCACGGGUGAAGUCUCCCCUGGCGUACACCAAGGAUCCCACCUUAUGACACGGGGGCCAGGCCCCACAUGUCAUACAGACCAACCCUAAGAAGGAGCGUGCAACUGCCCUGCGGUUACGUGCUCCUCCAUUUUCGGGGCAACCAGCAGUCAGGAAGUCGAACUACCGCGCAAGGGGCAUGCAACUGCCCCACGGUUAGGCGCCCCUUCAUCUUCGCCACACCCAGCAGUCAAAGAGGCGAACUGCCGCGCAAGAAGCGUACAACCAUCCUACGGCUGUGCGCCCCCUCAGCCCCGCUGCAACUGGCAGCCCAACGCGGGGGCCCAGGCCCACAUGACAUGUAAACGACGCGCCGGUUACCGUGUGCGAAGAAACCACACCGCCGCUUGCGCUAAUACCACGUCUUCUCGAGGCUGUCAGAGAAGUCUGAAAAGGUAAAUUUUUCAGAACCAGUGCAGCGACUCGAGGCAGCCCCGCGCAUGGCCCAACAGUGCCAUUAAGUACGAUGGUCAUGGGCCAGUCAGCCGUGGGAAUAGGCGCGGCGGUUGGCAUGGCCAUAGGCGGGCCGACAAUAAUUGCAGCAACAGGCGCGCAGGAGCAGCGGUCCAACCGCCAAUCAGACUCUGGUCCCACCUGCAGGCUCGCAUCCUCCCCUGCGGCGGGACCGGAGGCCACUGUCGGCACCCUAAAUCAAGGGUACCCUCUUCUACAGCAUGAAGAUGUCGCACCCAUGCGACGUCCCCUAGCCACGCAGGGAACGGCGCCUGACCCCACCGCAUGGGCAGACCAAAGGGCACCACGUGGCAAAGAGAGACAACACAUCUCAGUAAGUCCGGGCUCCCACAGAGGGACACCAGACCCCUAUACAUAUAAGUCCAGAACCCCCGGGAGGUUCGAACCCUAGCAGGGUCCCAGAACGAGGAGAACCCUGGUAUGAGCAGGGGUCCGGUGCUGACACGUGUCUGGGCCUUGCCCUUCACGUCCUGCUCAGGCGGAGACCCGCUACUUGUGGCCCAUGACAUAAGUUAUCAGGCCGAACCUGACGUGAGGUCGUGCAGCCCCUGCAUUUAUUGAAGAAAGGACGCACCGCCUGCCACCGCGCUGACGGGCGACGUGCCCUCUCAGCAUUUAAUGCGUCCCGUCCCAUCCGCUGGCAGGCGGUGUCAAGGUCAUCCAGCAGGCGGCGCGCCUGCUAGGUCUGCUGGUGAACAAUACGACCGUGCUAGGCAGCACACUGUACUCAACAUCCCUCCUACAAGAAACUUCCUCUGUACGCUAAGGAUACGCAGAUCUCGGGCGUCAGGGACGAGAAGAUUGUCUCGACAACAGGCAUUAGUAGCUCCAAGUGCUAUUUUCUUUAUGUUCCUGGGCCCACAUGUCGGGGCCCAGUCCCUUUGUGCAUGCCCCCCUUCAGCUAUAAACGGGGAGGCAUGCGACGUUACACACACACACACAAUCUUAGACUCGCUAGAUCAUACAAGCUCUCAAGCAAUACAACUCACAAUGGAGUAGGGUAUUACGCUCCGACGGCCUGAACCACUCUAAACCCUUGUGUGUUCUUGAGUUCUUCCCCUUCACUCCAACGAUCAAGCAAAACGCCUAAGCCCCUCCUCAUCUUAGGAUUUAGGGAGGGUGCACUCUGCCACCCGGCUGGAGAUCUACUCUCCGACAACUACCUUACCCGAAAGGGGCAAGGGUAGUAAGGGAGUUGCUUGCAAGGAGGUUCUCGGGUUGAUUUUGCUACGAUGGUGGUCAGACGGGGAUUCUUACAAGUGCUCUUCCCAUAAACUGUAGUGGGUUUUCGGAAGCUAGUGGAACUUUGUAAAGGCCUCGUAGUGGAUCCCUAGCCAUUCACCUCGGUAGUGUCUAAGGGCUUUGCAAACCCUGGCGACAUGGGAUACAUGACUUGUGGGUACAGGGUACAACCUCAGCAGAGUGUAAAACUAGUAUACUAGCCGAGCUCACGGUCAUGAGCAGCUCAGGACUCUCGCAUGAUUAAAUAUGAAACCUAAACUCAAUUCGUCAUUUGCAUUUGCAUGGGAAUUAUGUAUUAAUUUUGUUCUAUUAUUUUAUUAUGGUUUGGUAUCUACUUACUUUUAGUAACUUCUAAUAAAAUUUGACCAACUUAUUAAAAGCAAUGCUCAUCUUUAACCCUUAUUGUUGAUCAGCUUUACACAUCACAUGAACUCCCACCUUUGGUGAGUUCAUGCACAUUAUUCCCCACAACUUGUUGAGCGAUGAACAUGUGUGAGCUCACCCUUGCUGUCUCACACCCCCACAGGUUAAGGACAAGUACCACAUGGUGAGGCGCAUGGAUGAUGUUGUGAUGUGUUCGUGAGAGAUCUAGGUCGACGUCUCCCAGUUGACUUUUUGGCGCCAAGGAUGGAUUUUAGUUCGAUCCAUAUUUAUAUUUUAUUUUGUAAGACUUCCGCUAUGUAAUAAAUACUCUGAUGUUAUUGUGACAUUUAUCUCUAUACACUCUGUUAUUAUAUAUGUUGUCUUCUUUGGUGCAUGUAUGAGAUGCACCUGGCUUUGUUCCUUAAAUCCGGG